CGACGGUUGCACUCAUAACACGGCCAGUUCUUCUCUUGCUCUCUGAGAACCUUCCGUUCCUCCUCAGAUAUGUCAUGGAUCUUCUGGUUCACAAACUCCGCAUAAGACGCAGCAUACCACACCUUGAGUUCCUGUUUGGGCUCCACAUUUUUAAUGGUUGUGUAAUAAAUGUGGUGGCCAUACUGAUACGCAACCAGGUUCUGCUCCAAAUGGUUUUGAGCUGGACGCACAAACAUCAUCCAGUUACAAAGAGCCUCGCUAGAAAGUUCAAACCACAGGUCCUCUUGCAAAUCUCUCUCUUU
rnacentral:lncRNA from 1 species